rnacentral:rRNA from 1 species
GAUGAACGCUGGCGGCGUGCCUAAUACAUGCAAGUCGAGCGAACAGACGAGGAGCUUGCUCCUUUGACGUUAGCAGCGGACGGGUGAGUAACACGUGGGUAACCUACCUAUAAGACUGGGAUAACUUCGGGAAACCGGAGCUAAUACCGGAUAAUAUUUCGAACCGCAUGGUUCGAUAGUGAAAGAUGGCUUUGCUAUCACUUAUAGAUGGACCUGCGCCGUAUUAGCUAGUUGGUAAGGUAACGGCUUACCAAGGCAACGAUACGUAGCCGACCUGAGAGGGUGAUCGGCCACACUGGAACUGAGACACGGUCCAGACUCCUACGGGAGGCAGCAGUAGGGAAUCUUCCGCAAUGGGCGAAAGCCUGACGGAGCAACGCCGCGUGAGUGAUGAAGGUCUUCGGAUCGUAAAACUCUGUUAUUAGGGAAGAACAAACGUGUAAGUAACUGUGCACGUCUUGACGGUACCUAAUCAGAAAGCCACGGCUAACUACGUGCCAGCAGCCGCGGUAAUACGUAGGUGGCAAGCGUUAUCCGGAAUUAUUGGGCGUAAAGCGCGCGUAGGCGGUUUUUUAAGUCUGAUGUGAAAGCCCACGGCUCAACCGUGGAGGGUCAUUGGAAACUGGAAAACUUGAGUGCAGAAGAGGAAAGUGGAAUUCCAUGUGUAGCGGUGAAAUGCGCAGAGAUAUGGAGGAACACCAGUGGCGAAGGCGACUUUCUGGUCUGUAACUGACGCUGAUGUGCGAAAGCGUGGGGAUCAAACAGGAUUAGAUACCCUGGUAGUCCACGCCGUAAACGAUGAGUGCUAAGUGUUAGGGGGUUUCCGCCCCUUAGUGCUGCAGCUAACGCAUUAAGCACUCCGCCUGGGGAGUACGACCGCAAGGUUGAAACUCAAAGGAAUUGACGGGGGCCCGCACAAGCGGUGGAGCAUGUGGUUUAAUUCGAAGCAACGCGAAGAACCUUACCAAAUCUUGACAUCCUUUGACCCUUCUAGAGAUAGAAGUUUCCCCUUCGGGGGACAAAGUGACAGGUGGUGCAUGGUUGUCGUCAGCUCGUGUCGUGAGAUGUUGGGUUAAGUCCCGCAACGAGCGCAACCCUUAAGCUUAGUUGCCAUCAUUAAGUUGGGCACUCUAAGUUGACUGCCGGUGACAAACCGGAGGAAGGUGGGGAUGACGUCAAAUCAUCAUGCCCCUUAUGAUUUGGGCUACACACGUGCUACAAUGGACAAUACAAAGGGCAGCGAAACCGCGAGGUCAAGCAAAUCCCAUAAAGUUGUUCUCAGUUCGGAUUGUAGUCUGCAACUCGACUACAUGAAGCUGGAAUCGCUAGUAAUUCGUAGAUCAGCAUGCUACGGUGAAUACGUUCCCGGG